AUUGAACGCUGGCGGCAUGCCUUACACAUGCAAGUCGAACGGCAGCACGGAGCUUGCUCUGGUGGCGAGUGGCGAACGGGUGAGUAAUAUAUCGGAACGUACCCAAGAGUGGGGGAUAACGUAGCGAAAGUUACGCUAAUACCGCAUACGAUCUAAGGAUGAAAGCAGGGGAUCGCAAGACCUUGUGCUCCUGGAGCGGCCGAUAUCUGAUUAGCUAGUUGGUGGGGUAAAGGCCCACCAAGGCAACGAUCAGUAGCUGGUCUGAGAGGACGACCAGCCACACUGGAACUGAGACACGGUCCAGACUCCUACGGGAGGCAGCAGUGGGGAAUUUUGGACAAUGGGGGCAACCCUGAUCCAGCAAUGCCGCGUGAGUGAAGAAGGCCUUCGGGUUGUAAAGCUCUUUUGUCAGGGAAGAAAAGGUUGUGGCUAAUAUCCACGGCUCAUGACGGUACCUGAAGGAUAAGCACCGGCUAACUACGUGCCAGCAGCCGCAGUAAAAC
rnacentral:rRNA from 1 species